AGAGUUUGAUCAUGGCUCAGGACGAACGCUGGCGGCGUGCUUAACACAUGCAAGUCGAGCGGAAAGGCCUCUUCGGGGGUACUCGAGCGGCGAACGGGUGAGUAACACGUGAGUAAUCUGCCCCGGACUUUGGGAUAGCCACCGGAAACGGUGAUUAAUACCGGAUAUGACGCACUCAGGCAUCUGAUGUGUGUGGAAAGUUUUUUCGGUUCGGGAUGUGCUCGCGGCCUAUCAGCUUGUUGGUGGGGUAAUAGCCUACCAAGGCUUUGACGGGUAGCCGGCCUGAGAGGGUGACCGGCCACACUGGGACUGAGACACGGCCCAGACUCCUACGGGAGGCAGCAGUGGGGAAUAUUGGACAAUGGGCGGAAGCCUGAUCCAGCAACGCCGCGUGAGGGAUGACGGCCUUCGGGUUGUAAACCUUCUUUCAGCACCGACGAAGCUCCACUUUUCUGGAGGUUUGACCGGUAGGUGCACAAGAAGGACCGGCCAACUACGUGCCAGCAGCCGCGGUA
rnacentral:rRNA from 1 species